GGUAAAAUGGCUGAAUUAUAGGCGGUAAAUUGUAAAUUUACUUAUGAAAUUUGUUUCUUUUAUCA
rnacentral:tRNA from 1 species